UAGCAGGUUUUUCUGGAUUCAACUGAAUGGGCGUUGCCAAAACAUCUGUGGGAUUAUACGUUGGACUAUGGACCCUUUAAAGUAUCCACCCAUGUGUGUCAUCUCCACGGUUCAGUCUGCUGUCCUCAUGCUACGCAAUGCUGGGACACUUCAAUCCUGAAUCCCAGAACCUGAGUGCAAGGUGUGGAACACAAGACCAUGUUGGACCAUGUGAUUAAUGGAACACAGAACAAUGUGUUAAAGUCUGCAGAUAGCGAGAAGAUUCACAGGCACCCUGAUAUACAGACAGAAGUGGACAUCCACAGUUCACAGAGUAUCAGAGUCCUGUUGAAAAUAAACCCAACAUAACUCAUUACAUUUUGAACUUUUCUGUAUCGCUUCAGUCAGUAAACUGUCUUCCAGUGUUUACAUGGAUUUUCUCCAAAGCCUCUGUCUGAAAUGUGACCUCAUUUUAAUAAAGCAGUUCACAUGAACA
rnacentral:lncRNA from 1 species